GAUGAACGCUGGCGGCGUGCCUAAUACAUGCAAGUCGAGCGAACAGACGAGGAGCUUGCUCCUCUGAUGUUAGCGGCGGACGGGUGAGUAACACGUGGAUAACCUACCUAUAAGACUGGGAUAACUUCGGGAAACCGGAGCUAAUACCGGAUAACAUGUUGAACCGCAUGGUUCAACAGUGAAAGACGGUCUUGCUGUCACUUAUAGAUGGAUCCGCGCCGCAUUAGCUAGUUGGUAAGGUAACGGCUUACCAAGGCAACGAUGCGUAGCCGACCUGAGAGGGUGAUCGGCCACACUGGAACUAGGACACGGUCCAGACUCCUACGGGAGGCAGCAGUAGGGCAUCUUCCGCAAUGGGCGAAAGCCUGACGGAGCAACGCCGCGUGAGUGAAGAAGAUCUUCGGAUCGUAAAACUCUGUUAUUAGGGAAGAACAAAUGUGUAAGUAACUAUGCACGUCUUGACGGUACCUAAUCAGAAAGCCACGGCUAACUACGUG
rnacentral:rRNA from 1 species